AACAUGCAUGAUUCCACCAGUACAAGCAAAGGUGGUCUCUAGCCCAUAUAUAUUGGUAUUUCGUUUAACAUAGCUCUCAUUUUACAUAUGGUUGAAGUUGCAUUUGAUGCUCCAGGUACAUAUAUUCAACUAGUAGAUCUCCCAAAUAGAAGCACCUUAUACGUGAUGGUUAUUGGCGAGGUCCAGGUUGAUUCUAGGCUUUGCCUAGUCUUUAUGAUGUGUAUUUCAUGUUUCAUGGUUACAUAAUAUCAUAGAAUAUUUCCAUGUUGCUGAUGGAUUUUAGACAAGUCCUAUUUAAAAUGGGAACCCUAGCAAAUCUCGAAACGAAAUUCCAAGGUGAACCAAACUAUCAGCUUCAACCAUCAGUCGAGGACGAGUGAUCAUAAGGGGGAGAAUGUAACAGGGUGUAUUCUACGUAUACCUGUUCUAUUUAUACGACGGUUAUAUAUUUCCUUGUAGUAUGUUUAUGAACUCGGUUUCGUAUGAGACUAAUGACAAUAGAAUAUGUUUAAUGUGAACUGCCCAUAGAUUUUGAUGUGAGACGAUUAAGUUGAUGUCGAUUGAAGUAUUUAAACAUGAAAUCAUAAGGUCAUAUUUUUAUCUA